rnacentral:rRNA from 1 species
AUGUGCUGUCUGGUCAAGGGUACGUUCCUGACCGGGCCUUCCUCCUCCCUUACCAACCAUACGGCAGAGAUUGAGCCGCCUGCACCACAUUCCACUCUGUUUAGUUGGUCAUUGCCCAAACUGGAUUUUCCUCCCUUCGAUGGAGAAAAUCCCCAAUUCUGGCGAACUCAUUGCAAAAAGUAUUUUUCAGUCUAUGGUGUUCACUCAGAUCUCUGGGUACGUGUAGCCACCCUUCACUUCACCGGCAACGCGACAUGUUGGUUGCAAUUGCACGAGUCACAGAGUGAAUCGAUGUCAUGGGAGGAAUUGUGCGCGGCACUUUGCGGCAAAUUUGGCCGGGAGCAGUAUCAAGCUCAAUUGCGUCAGUUCCACGCACUGCGUCAGACAGGCACCGUGCACAAUUACAUGCUGCAAUUCGAGGAACUUAUUCACCAAUUACUCGCACAUAAUCCUUCAUUUGAUCCUGUGUUUUUCACUACCUAA